rnacentral:tRNA from 1 species
GGAAAGCUGGCAGAGCUCGGUCGAUUGCACCUGAUUUGAAAUCAGACGAAGGGUUAAACCUUCCGGGGGUUCGAAUCCCUCGCUUUCCGCCA